rnacentral:rRNA from 1 species
CUACGGGGGGCUCCAGUGGGGAAUAUUGCACAAUGGGCGCAAGCCUGAUGCAGCCAUGCCGCGUGUAUGAAGAAGGCCUUCGGGUUGUAAAGUACUUUCAGCGGGGAGGAAGGGAGUAAAGUUAAUACCUUUGCUCAUUGACGUUACCCGCAGAAGAAGCACCGGCUAACUCCGUUCCAGCAGCCGCGGUAAUACGGAGGGUGCAAGCGUUAAUCGGAAUUACUGGGCGUAAAGCGCACGCAGGCGAUUUGUUAAGUCAGAUGUGAAAUCCCCGGGCUCAACCUGGGAACUGCAUCUGAUACUGGCAAGCUUGAGUCUCGUAGAGGGGGGUAGAAUUCCAGGUGUAGCGGUGAAAUGCGUAGAGAUCUGGAGGAAUACCGGUGGCGAAGGCGGCCCCCUGGACGAAGACUGACGCUCAGGUGCGAAAGCGUGGGGAGCAAACAGGAUUAGAUACCCCAGUAGUC